CAUCUGAAGAAAAGGGCUCGGGCAAGACCGGUGCCAGCCGCCGCGGUAAUACCGGCGACUCGAGUGGUGACCACUUUUAUUGGGCUUAAAGGGUUCGUAGCUGGACUGNUAAGUCUCUUGGGAAAUCUGCCGGCUUAACCGNCGGGCGUCUAAGGGAUACUGUUGAUCUUGGAACCGGGAGAGGUGAGAGGUACUUCGGGGGUAGGAGUGAAAUCCUGUAAUCCUCGGGGGACCACCU
rnacentral:rRNA from 1 species